UCUCAACUAGACCGAAUUCUUCUGUCCCUAUAAUGCAUAUAUUUCCUAAUUUACAUUUGCUUUUUAUUGAUUUUGCUAUUUUCUAUUUUUUUUUUUUUUUUUUAUUGUGCAAUAUAGAGACAGAAAGCAGUGCCCAUUCAAAACAGGAGAUCGCGGACAAUUUGUUUGCGCUCAUAUUGUCGCUUUUUCUGCAUUUUUCAGACAUCAGUACAUGAAUAAACUAAUAGAUAAACGGUUUUUCUACAUUUUCGUGUGCCUUACUAUGAUCAAAGACCUUUCUGGGUCUGGAUAAUCCACUUUUUUCAACAUUCAAUACUUUCUACUUUCAAUUUUGGCAAGUUAGACAUCUUGAAAUAUUUCGACCAAUCAACGCUUAUUUCCGGUUACUCGGAUCUUCUUUGCUUAGUUUAUAAUUAGAUAUCACGUGUUAUUUGUAUGCCCUUCUUCUGGCGUACAAAUAACACGUGAUAUCUAAUUAUAACUAAGUAAAGUCAAAACCGCGCUAAAAUAUGAAAAAGCGCUCAACUUAAAAAAAAUAUAAGAACAGGC
rnacentral:lncRNA from 1 species